rnacentral:misc_RNA from 1 species
UUUAUCAACGCAAGGAACCUCAAGAAGACAUAACAAAAUGUUGGGGGUGGGGUCCUGCUAUAAGAGUAAACAAAUCACACGGGUUUGAAAGGUAAAGCAUCUAAAAAGAAGGCAUUUUAAGUAGCCCUUGGAGUAGCCCACUCAACUCUAAGGAUGAGAUUAUCAUAACCAUAUCCAUUCAGUUUGUUGAUUGCUCUUUGAGCAUCCUCACGGUUCACAAAGUUCACGAAACCAAAUCCUCUGCUCAUACCCGUCUUCUGGUCAACUGCAACAUAAACUCGGCUAACAGCACCAAAAGGUCGGAAAAGCUCGAGAAGGUCAGGCUCUCUUGUGUCCUCCGAGAGGUUGGUGACACGAACGGAGUUUUCAUCGUUCCUACGUCUCAUAUCAGUUCCAGUCCUGUCUGCUCCUGCUCUCAUACCUGGAGGAACAUAUGUUCCCUUAGUUGCACCGGGUGCAGCAGCUGUAGCCUCUGGUGCUGAAGUCUUAUCCAAUCCCUCACCUUGUGGUGCCAAGUCUUUGUAAGGGCACCUCGAGGUCCAAUGAUCG